rnacentral:lncRNA from 1 species
AUGGGGAUGAUAGUUCAAUUGCUCCGGGACCGACGCGUCUCCUCACGUGGUCCAGGCCUUCACAAACCCAAAGUGGAACGGCCAGGAAAACGACUGACAGCAGUCCACAUGAACCAGGCAGAGAUGCAGAAAGAGGCUCACCAAAGACCAGCUGACAUGCAAGAAAUCGCUUUCUGGCUCACAGGCACAUACAUCCAAACACACACACACACACCACAGCAAGCACACACAAACACACACACACACCCCGACAGAGAGAGGGAAAGAAACAGAGUGAGAGACAGCGAGAGAGGAGAGAAU